AUUGGUUUUUAAAAUAAAAAAAGUGUACAAGGUUUCCGUAGGUGAACCUGCGGAAGGAUCAUU
rnacentral:rRNA from 1 species